rnacentral:RNase_P_RNA from 1 species
UGAGUGAACCGGAUGAUCGCGAAGGGUUACCCUUUGAGGAAAGUCCGAGCUCCACAGGGCAGGAUGCUGGGUAACACCCAGUGGAGGCGACUCUAAGGCUAGUGCCACAGAAAUAUACCGCCUUGGUGGUUUUCCGCCGAGGUAAGGGU